rnacentral:tRNA from 174 species
GCGGGUGUAGCUCAGGGGUAGAGCACAACCUUGCCAAGGUUGGGGUCGAGGGUUCAAAUCCCUUCGCCCGCUCCA